rnacentral:rRNA from 1 species
AUUGAACGCUGGCGGCAUGCCUUACACAUGCAAGUCGAACGGCAGCACGGGUGCUUGCCCCUGGUGGCGAGUGGCGAACGGGUGAGUAAUACAUCGGAACAUGUCCUGUAGUGGGGGAUAGCCCGGCGAAAGCCGGAUUAAUACCGCAUACGAUCCACGGAUGAAAGCGGGGGACCUUCGGGCCUCGCGCUAUCGGGUUGGCCGAUGGCUGAUUAGCUAGUUGGUGGGGUAAAGGCCUACCAAGGCGACGAUCAGUAGCUGGUCUGAGAGGACGACCAGCCACACUGGGACUGAGACACGGCCCAGACUCCUACGGGAGGCAGCAGUGGGGAAUUUUGGACAAUGGGCGAAAGCCUGAUCCAGCAAUGCCGCGUGUGUGAAGAAGGCCUUCGGGUUGUAAAGCACUUUUGUCCGGAAAGAAAUCCUUGGCCCUAAUACAGUCGGGGGAUGACGGUACCGGAAGAAUAAGCACCGGCUAACUACGUG